rnacentral:rRNA from 1 species
UACUAGAGUAGCACUCGCAUAUCAAUAAGCGGAGGAAAAGAAACUAACAAGGAUUCCCCUAGUAACGGCGAGUGAAGCGGGAAGAGCUCAAAUUUGAAAUCUUAAAGGGUUUCCCUUUACGAAUUGUAGUUUAAAGGAAGUGUUUUCUGUUGAGGUUUUGGUAAAAGUUCUUUGGAAUAGGACAUCAUAGAGGGUGAGAAUCCCGUAUUUGACCUUUACUUUCAACUUUGUGAUACACUUUCAAAGAGUCGGAUUGUUUGGGAAUGCAGUCCAAAAUGGGUGGUAAAUUUCAUCUAAAGCUAAAUAUUGGCGAGAGACCGAUAGCGAACAAGUACCGUGAGGGAAAGAUGAAAAGAACUUUGAAAAGAGAGUUAAACAGUACGUGAAAUUGUCAAAGGGAAGCGUUUGACACCAGUGUUGUUUUUCUGAAAAUCAAUUAAAGAACUGUUUAUGCUAAGUUGUUUAGACUUUAUCAGCUAAUCUGUUUAGUUUUGAGCUUUUCUUUAAUGCACUUUUCAGUUAGCAAGUCAACAUCAAUUUCUUUUGCUGUAAAAAAGCUUGAGGAAGGUGGCUUGAGAUUCGUCUUAAGUGUCUAUAGCCUCUUGCCUAUGCAGUCGGAGAGAUUGAGGUCUGCAGCGUAGAUCCUUCGGGGCUAAAUGCAUUUGUGCUAAGUUAUAACAUUUUAUAGACAACUUGUUGACUAUGAUUUGUCUUGUAGCUUACUCGCUUAUGUCAUUUUACCUACGCUUAGGAUGUUGAGUAGCGACAUACGCAC